rnacentral:miRNA from 1 species
GACACCGUUCCACCAU